GGCCGAUCCUACGCCUAGGGCCGUGUCCCCCCCUAGGAAGAGACUGGGCUCCGCCCACCCAGAAGGCUACUAUGUGCACAAAGGCCGAUGUUCAACCCCAUCGACUAUAGGUGUCCUGCAGAUACUGCCAAGCUAUGCAUAAAUGCCAUAAUGCACCCUCCCAAUACUCUACUAAAAAGGAGUAUAAUCAAGAUUACCACUCACUCGAUCCUGACCCAAUCAUAAACUAACAUCAGGGUUAGGAGUGAGGGUCAAGGAAGUGCAAUAUAACUCAAUAUACCACUAAAAAGGCUCUACAAAUUUUUGAAAUGGAGGAAAUGAAAUUAAUUUACAAAAGAAGUUAUUUCACAAUUUGGAACCAAUUUAAUUACUCAUAAAAGAGUAUAAUCAAGCUACGACUCACAAGUCUUUAAAAUAGAGGAAAUGAAAUCAAUUUACAAAAGAAAUCAUUUCACAAUUCGGAAUCAAUUUGAUUACUUAUCAACCCCUCGUAAUUCCUCUCAAUGUUCCCUCAAA
rnacentral:lncRNA from 1 species